UGAAAAGAAACUGAAAAAAUCCCGCUUAAUUCUUCUACACCCCUCAUCAUUCUAAACCCUAACCCGACUCUCUCUUCUUCAUUUUUUCACUGUAAACGGCGGUCCUGUUCCCAUCCCAUCUGUUCUCCUCCAAUCCGGCCUGCAGAACACGUUCAUCCUCUCAAGCAGUCAACAUGUUCAUCUCCGGCAGCCUUUAUGGUUGGUAACAGUAUUUCGGUGCAAGGAGUGUACUCCGAGUCCUCCUUUGUUUCCGAUCCAGAAAGCUAAGCACACAUCGGUAUAUCUUACCGGAGGACAAUACUGGUAUGAUAUGAGAACCGGAAAUGCCUACAAGGGAGGUGCGACCUAUGAAUUGGAGGUGUCUGAUGAAAGUGUUCCUGCUUUCGAAAGGGCAGGGACCAUCAUUCCCCGGAAGGAUCGCUACCGCCGAAGUUCCACCCAGAUGGUGAAUGAUCCAUACACACUGGUAUCCUUCUAGAUCUCAACUAACAUAUCGAUCUAGUUUUGGGUGUCGGAGGAUUUUCUGUCUUGACUUUUAAUGUCUUCUCAGUUUCAAGUAUUUUACUUUCUAAAUGCUUAUUUUCUAACCCCAAUUCCUCACUGUCGUUCUUCCUCCCUAUGAGAAAACUCGCAUCCAUUAGCUUUUGCAAUUAACCCUAAUCUCGGAAAGGAAAAAAAAUUUCAACUUCAGUUUGCAUUCGAGUUCUACUAUUCAAGCCUCCCUAUCCCUUAAUCGAUUACCAUUCGAGUUUUGCUUCUCAAUGAGAUUUUAUUUGACCUAGCAACAAGUGAGUUUCAAUCCCAAUUCCGCUUGAUAAUAGACGUACACUGAAAGGAAGGUCCAAGCUCAACAGCAAGAAUGGUAUAGGAAAUCUGCACUCUGACCCAAAUCAAUUGGCCAGCGCAGAUAAAACAUUGUUCGAUCACGGACUUGGUGCACAUACUUUAUAUAGUCGCUCAACAGCAAGAAGAUUAAUAGACAUACUUUAUAUAGUCCCGAAAUUCUCAAGUCGCAUAGCCAUGGUUUUGGUGAUGUGGGAAGUUAUUUUUCGAAGAUGUAAUUCUUGUUUUUAAUCAAUACUUGUUUUGUGUUUUACAUUUGUGUUAAUUGCACAUCCAAACUACUAAUAAUUUGGAAUUUUGGAUCAUCUAUGUAAAAUGUUGACAAUAUUUUGGGGCAAAUAAAGUCAUUUUUUUGUAAUUUUUUAACUUGUA